rnacentral:rRNA from 1 species
CACGUAGGGGACGAGCGUUGUCCGGAUUCAUUGGGCGUAAAGAGCGUGUAGGCGGCCCGGUAAGUCCGCUGUGAAAGUCGGGGGCUCAACCCUCGAAUGCCGGUGGAUACUGUCGGGCUAGAGUGCGGAAGAGGCGAGUGGAAUUCCUGGUGUAGCGGUGAAAUGCGCAGAUAUCAGGAGGAACACCAAUUGCGAAGGCAGCUCGCUGGGACGUGACUGACGCUGAGACGCGAAAGCGUGGGGAGCAAACAGG